AUGAGUUUAAUCCGGUUUAUUAUAGGCAUCAAGGAAAUAAUUCUUAUAAAAGGACGAAAGUUUUAUCUAUUAAUUUGCCGACUGACUGCCGCAAUCAUCCACCUCAAAAUCAAAUCGGCGGCGAAAAGGCAAGAAGAAAUCCGGCCUCAUUCCGCAGGCGGGUCAGGCCGACAAUAUCAGAAACAUGAUUUCUGAUGAACAAGUGACAAAGCCAUCGACAUCAGAACCCGAGCAGGUGAAGCAACCAACAGUGAACUGGUUGGAUCUUCCGUCAGAUGUAAUGAAGAACAUACUCUCUAGACUCGGUAUGUUUGACAUACUAGAGAAUGCCCAAAAAGUGUGCACUACUUGGCAUCAAAUCUGUAAGGAGCCCGCUAUGUGGAGGGCUGUUAAAAUGAAAUAUUCACAUCUAUGGGGACAGCAACGAUUUCAGAGGAUUUGUAAGCAUGUUGUGGAUAGAAGCCAAGGCCAGAUGGUUGAUGUCUCUAUCAGUGCCUUUUGCGAUCAAGACAUUCUUCAGUAUAUUGCUGCUAGAUCCAGUCAGCUUAGGCGUCUAGAAAUUACUUAUUCUUAUGGUAUUUUAACUGAAGUCUGGGGUGGAUGUUUGAAGAAAUUAUCAUUAUUGGAGGAACUCAGCGUUUGUGGAACACAAUUCUCAGAAAAAGAUAUUGAAGCUGUUGGCCGCUUCUGUCCCCUGCUAAAAACACUCAAAGUUAAGAAUACACCCUUUAUUUAUAACUUAAGUGAUGAUGCUGAUUAUGGUUGGAAUACGUGGGCUUUGGCAAUUGGGAAAAACCUACCUGGGUUAAGGUACCUUCAGUUAACUGGUUUCACCAUGACGGGUGUUGGGUUAAGGGCGAUUCUAGAUGGUUGUCGUCACCUUGAAUCCCUUAAAUUGGGUCGGUGUAACUACAUUGAUCUCAACGGAGACCUUGUAAACAGAUGUUCUCAACAGAUUAAACAUUUAAAGCUUCCUCGUGGUUAUAAGGACUCUUUCGGAAACUGUGAUUCUGAUUAGUAUGACGAGUAUCUGUAUGUGAUGAUUCCACAUCCAUUGAUCCUGGUAAUUUCCUCGACUUUGAUGAUUUGAAUGAAAAUAAUUUCGACUUAGAACAAGUGUAGCUCUUGGCUUCCAGAACACCCCUCUUUCUGGCUUUGACAGGAACGUUCAAUUUGGUCAUCAUUUUUCUGCUGAUGGUUGUCAUUUUGGCUCUCUUUUUAAACCUCCAAACAUCUAUGGGUCAUGUCUCUGUGCUUAAAUUAUUGUAAACACUAAUUAACCAUGAUGGUGUGGGAUUUUAUCAUACGUUCUUGGAAUCGAAAUGCAUUUCCUUGA